AGUAACAUUGCGUACAGUGCAAAAAGUCAGAAUCCAAUCAUGAGUUGGACUGGACUAUUCUGACGUAAAAUUGGAAAAAAACAGCUCCCUUGUUGUCACGGUUGUCACCUUGGCCUUAGAUUUCCAUGGAAAUAGCAAAAAAUAAAUGACAGGAGGCGAAGCUGAAAAGUUUGACCUUUUUUCACUCUGAAGAAAUAAUUCAUUUGAACAAGAAGUCAAUUUGAUUUAGGGAAGUUUAAUAUUUAUAAAUUAAUAAAAGUAGCAGUUAGUAUUUUUGCAACAGUUUUCGUAGUGAAAUAAUUCACUUUCAUUGUACCGCACACAGCUACACUGAAUCUGUCCAGCUUCUCCCGUAGGUGAGCACUGUCCCGCUGUUUGCUACCAGGAAGUAGCCUUCUUUGGUCCUUGCUCAGGUGAGCACUGGCCUGUUGUUUGGUACCAGCGCAGAAUAGGGCCGAUGGAAGCACAAGUACGUCGCUCUAGUAGGAAAAACCAAGGUGCAAUUACAAAGCGGUUAGGUAGUUUUAUAGUUGAAAUACCGAUACACAGCAACAUGAUACGCACUCCACCCAACCAACUGAAUUCAAAUGUCCAAGACGGGGAAACAGGUGCAAAUAAUCAGGACAGAGAAUGAAUCUGUCGUACCUCGAAAAGAGGCACGAAAUCUGGAUUGUAGUCAACUAAAAAUCGAUCAUCGCGAAGCAGCAUAACUGACAGCCAAAGCAAGCUUUUAGAUCUAGAGGAGAAAACCGAGGAGGCGGAACUGCGUGCUUCUACUGAACGAGGCAGGAUUGUAACCGAAUUGCAGAUUCAGCAUGACCUGGCAUCGACGACAGCACAAAGGAAAGCUGCGAGAAAAGUUGAGAUGCUGUCUAGAUCGAGUACUUCGAGUAGAUCGAGUGCGUACACUAAUGCGUCCAAGCGUGUUGAGAAGUGGCUUGCUGAGUCAGGAAAGAUACCUAAGGCCACACAACGAAUAUGAAGAAUCAUCCCACCGGAUGGAUCCUGCGUUUUCACGAGGAACCGAAGGACCUGGGGUGAACGACAUUUUGUCUCAGGCGUUGCAGAGUCGAAAUAUGAACGGACGAUUUUCGAAAACGAAUUUAAAACGUAAACUAAGGAGUAUAAGCUAACUGAUCACGAUAACCAGAGACGGUUGAAUAAAGCGCUGCAAGGUAAAGCGCGCAGGACUAGAAUCACUGCUUGUAUCCCCUGAGAAUGUGCAGCAUAUUAUACGAAUGUUGCAGUCAAAUUUCGGACGCACCGAAUGGGUGGUGGCAAAUAGAUUGGAAGCGAUAAGAAACCUGGAGAUCGUAAAAGAAAGUAACUUCGAAUCUUUCCGUGCCUUUUAUAAUUGCGGUUAUUGGGUUGCGAUUGCCAACGCGAAGGCGGAUAACUACCUGAUGGCUAUCCGAACUCAUCUCUCACCUGGCUAAUAAACUGCCUUGCCUGUGUGCAAAAUGUGCGGGCACGGUCUAGUAUUGUGCCUUUUCAGCGGCAAUACAUAUCAAAAAUGUUUCGGGUUAAUGUUUAUCAGGCCAGUCUUGUGGUGCUCAGGUUGUGAGUUCGAUGAUCAUUGGGUUGGAUAAGAAGAUGAGCAAUUCGCUUUCAUUUCUGCCUUUUACUGAUGCCCGGAAAAACAUCGAUGCACAGAAAAACAUCGCAUUAGAUAACGGAAUAGAGAAAUUGAUUAGGUCUAACGAACAGAAUUUGAAGAGCCGAAGUGUUGGAAAUCAAAUUAACUCGAAGAAAAUCGUCGCAUGCCCGAGUCCUGAGGAAGUCCCUUAAUAUUUAUUUUUUAUAGCUUAAAUAUAUGAAAAACCCACGGCUCCUUUAAGCUAACUCGUUGAGCCGUGUCAAAUGAAUGAAAUAAAUCCAAAGCUCGUUGAAUGUGAGCAUCAAUAUCUAAGAAUCAAGUCGAGCUACUGAUCAUAGAAGACGACUGUACGAAACUGCAUGUGAGUAUCAAAACUGAUUGCGGUUCAUUUAAUCGCAGUCGCACUGAACAAGCAUUCCUAAAAUCUAUCGUAAAUCGAGGUUAAGACCAAAGUUAUAACAUUAUAAUCUACCACUUUUAACACUUUACUUUUCUUUCAAGUCAGUGUGAAAGAUUAUGAACUCUUCCGAGUUAAUCCACAUUUGUUCACCCUUUUACUACGCUAACAUAAGUU